CACGUAGGGCGCAAGCGUUGUCCGGAAUUAUUGGGCGUAAAGAGCUCGUAGGCGGACUGUUGCGUCCGCUGUGAAAAGCUGGGGCUUAACCCUGGCCUUGCAGUGGAUACGGGCAGACUAGAGGUAGGUAGGGGAGAAUGGAAUUCCCGGUGUAGCGGUGAAAUGCGCAGAUAUCGGGAAGAACACCUGCGGCGAAGGCGGGUUGCUGGGCCGACACUGACGCUGAUGCGCGAAAGCCAGGGGAGCGAACGGG
rnacentral:rRNA from 1 species